CUUGACAUCCCUUGCUAAUCCUAGAAAUAGGACGUUCCCUUCGGGGACAAGGUGACAGGUGGUGCAUGGUUGUCGUCAGCUCGUGUCGUGAGAUGUUGGGUUAAGUCCCGCAACGAGCGCAACCCUUAUUAUUAGUUGCCAGCAUUCAGUUGGGCACUCUAGUGAGACUGCCGGUGACAAACCGGAGGAAGGUGGGGAUGACGUCAAAUCAUCAUGCCCCUUAUGACCUGGGCUACACACGUGCUACAAUGGCAUAUACAACGAGUCGCCAACCCGCGAGGGUGCGCUAAUCUCUUAAAGUAUGUCUCAGUUCGGAUUGUAGGCUGCAACUCGCCUACAUGAAGUCGGAAUCGCUAGUAAUCGCGGAUCAGCACGCCGCGGUGAAUACGUUCCCGGGUCUUGUACACACCGCCCGUCACACCAUGAGAGUUUGUAACACCCAAAGCCGGUGGGGUAACCUUUUAGGAGCCAGCCGUCUAAGGUGGGACAGAUGAUUAGGGUGAAGUCGUAACAAGGUAGGCGUAGACGU
rnacentral:rRNA from 1 species